rnacentral:rRNA from 1 species
UGCAGUCGACGAGAGGACAAGAGAAGCUUGCUUCUUUUGGAAUCGAGUGGCAAACGGGUGAGUAACACGUAAACAACCUGCCUUCAGGAUGGGGACAACAGACGGAAACGACUGCUAAUACCGAAUACGCUUGGAAGACCGCAUGAUCUUCCAAGGAAAGGGUGGCCUCUACCUGUAAGCUAUCGCCUGAAGAGGGGUUUGCGUCUGAUUAGGCAGUUGGUGAGGUAACGGCCCACCAAACCUACGAUCAGUAGCCGGUCUGAGAGGAUGAACGGCCACACUGGAACUGAGACACGGUCCAGACUCCUACGGGAGGCAGCAGUGGGGAAUCUUCCGCAAUGGGCGAAAGCCUGACGGAGCAACGCCGCGUGAGUGAUGACGGCCUUCGGGUUGUAAAGCUCUGUGAUCGGGGACGAACGGUCCGUAAGCUAAUACCUUAUGGAAGUGACGGUACCCGAAUAGCAAGCCACGGCUAACUACGUGCCAGCAGCCGCGGUAAUACGUAGGUGGCAAGCGUUGUCCGGAAUUAUUGGGCGUAAAGCGCGCGCAGGCGGCUUUCUAAGUCCAUCUUAAAAGUGCGGGGCUUAACCCCGUGAUGGGAUGGAAACUGGAAAGCUGGAGUAUCGGAGAGGAAAGUGGAAUUCCUAGUGUAGCGGUGAAAUGCGUAGAGAUUAGG